ensembl:lncRNA SLCO4A1-AS2 SLCO4A1 antisense RNA 2
AGCAGCCGAGUCCAGCAAUGUGGACAGCCAGACGCAUGCUUGGUGGAGGCAGCCAGCGCCCCCAUCCUGGUCUCGGUCAUCAGUUCCAUCAAUGACAAAUGCUGCUGGGGCCCAUGAGGACCACCCGCGCCACUCACAUGUUGCUUUCCUUCUGCGAUCUGCUAGCUUCCGAGAUGGCCAAGGCAGAUGCACUCAUGGCUCAGUGAGAAGGUGAACGUCACCUCUGCGUUCACUGCUAAUGGAGACUGGAGUAAUGAUGUCUGGUCCGCGUUAAGGCGGGCAGCUCGGCAGCCCACACCUUUGGUUUUCUGGUCUCAGGCCCAUUAUGGAUAAGCUGGUGUGGGGUGGGGCAGGGGAGUUUCAGGGGCUGGAAGGGCCUCAUGGCAGCCCCACGUAGAGGCUGCCUAGCCCCUGGACUGGCCCCACCAAGGGGAACAGGACAUUGCAGCUGGGCUUGGGGAAGAAGGGAGGCCUGUCCUUUUGAUUCUUCUUUCUGGCAUCCUGUGUGUGCACGUCUGUGUAGGUGUGUGUACACAUGCACACCUGCCUAUAGUUUCUUUCCACUUGGAAUUGGUUUUGACAAAAAGGUGCGUCAGCUUCCCAAGCUGGUCCCUGUAACAGUGAAGGAUGGAGCCUCAUCCUCAUCCCAGAGCCACACCCUCAGCUUCCCCUGGAAAAGGCAGCGGCUUCUUCCGAUCCACACCCUCAGCUUCCCCCGGAAAAGGCAGCAGCUUCUUCUGAUGCAUGGAUACAGCCCCCACUACGGAGCUGGGGAGGGAGCUGCAGGCAGCCUUGACCCCAGACCAAAUUCAAAGGACCUGCCUCUUCCAAAGGCCUCCCUCCAAGGGCCACGGGGACCCCAUGACCGUCCUCUCAUCCCAAGCUGGCUGCAUGGGGUGGGCUGGUUUAUACGCAGAUAAGACUGCACCUGCUGAUGAGGCCAGAUGCAGGUGAACCCCGGUGCUGCAAAUGAGGAGUCUGCAGAUGGGGUGAGGCUGAAAGGCAGUUGUGGAAGGCCGGGCAGUGGCAGCCACGUGGCAGAGGAGGGGGUGGGAGACCCGGGGCAGGGAUGGGACAGCCAUGGGGUGCAGGAGACUGCACCCCCUGUGAAGGACAGGCCAGCGGCCAGCCCCCAGGCCACCCUGGCUCCUGUCAGCAUCCCAGGUCGAGUCCACUGUCAUCCUCAUCUGAACACCCUGACUGCAUCUAACACCAGGGCAUCUGCUUCCUGGCCUCUGCAGGGCCCACUCUACAGCCUCUGACGCUAUGUGCGAUGGUCUCAGGGUCAGGGCCAAGAGCACUGUGAUAGCGAAUUUCAUGUGUCAACCUGAGUGGGCCUUGGGUGCCUAGACAUUUAGCCAAGCAUCGUUCUGGGUGUGCUGUGGGUGUUUCCAGGUGAGAUUAGCAUGUGAAGGGUGGCCCUCCCCAGGGUGGUGGGCCUCGUCCAAUCAGUUGGGGGCCUACAUAGAUCCAAAGGCUGAGUGAGAGGGCCUCCUCCUGUGACAGCUGCAGCUGGGACCUCGGUCUUUUCCUGCCUUUGGGCUUGGACUGAAAUGCCAGCUCUUCUUGGGUCUUCAGCCUUCAGGCUGGAACCUGCAGCAGCAUUUCUCUGGUUCUUGGGCCUUCAGACUCAGACUGGACCGAAACCAUCAGCUCUCCUGGGCCUCCAGCUUGCCAACGACAGGUCUCGGGACUUGCCCCUUCCAUAAGUGCUUGAGCCAGGUCUUCAGGAUAAAUCUCUUUCCACCUAUCCUGUUGGUUGUGUUUCUCUGGAUAACUCAGACUAAUACAAGCCAGUCCUUCCAUA